AUACAAUGGAGAGUUUGAUCCUGGCUCAGGAUGAACGCUAGCGGCAGGCCUAAUACAUGCAAGUCGAGCGGUAGAGGAGCUUUCGGGUUCCUUGAGAGCGGCGCACGGGUGCGUAACACGUAUGCAACCUACCUUUUACAGGGGGAUAGCCCGGGGAAACCCGGAUUAAUACCCCAUGGUACUAUUGAUCGGCAUCGUGAUAUAGUUAAAGAUUUAUCGGUAAAAGAUGGGCAUGCGUCUGAUUAGCUAGUU
rnacentral:rRNA from 1 species